GGCGACAUAGCCAAGUGGUAAGGCAGAGGUCUGCAAAAUCUCCAUCCCCGGUUCAAAUCCGGGUGUCGCCUCCA
rnacentral:tRNA from 2 species